rnacentral:tRNA from 1 species
GGGGAUUUAGCUCAGUGGUAGAGCACUUGCCUAGCAAGCAUGUAGGUCCUCA